ensembl:lncRNA
GAGAUUCACUUGAACGAACGAGCGGGACUUUCAUUUUCAAACCUGAGACGUAUGAGGAGACGAUGUUUUUCUUUGUUUACUUUAAUUGUCAUGUUGUUAAAGUUCUGUAGCUUUCGAGAAUACUCAUUUUGUGAUAAACUACGAUAAGAAACGAUGGAUUCAACAGAAGACGACAUAUCUGACUGCUCGGAUUCUGUUGAGGAGAGUUCUGCAUUCAGAGUUACCAAGAUCUCCUGUAACCAGAAGUGCAACAAAUGUAUGGCAGAGCAUGAGGCUGAAAAACACCCCUGGACUGGAGAGUCCUGGAUCUGCCUUGCGUCACACACUCAAGAAGAAGCUCCAUGAGAGUGCCUCCCUGUCACCCCUCCCUUCACCUAAACGGCCAAGGUCAACAGUGCCAAAUACAAACCCUCCUGUGACGGUCCCGUCCCCGGUGCAUGAUGAGGACAUGACCACUCGUGGUCUGCUCAGGGGGAUCAUUCAGACGGUGGCCUGAACCUGACCUUGAAGACCCCAUUUGUAGAGAAGCACAUUGAGAGGGCGGGGCUUCAGAGGAAGGUGUCCAAUCGGAGGCUACCAUCUGUGGAUGCAUUUGAUGAGGCCGUUCAGAGAUGCUUGGAGCAGGGUCCCAACCAAGAUCAAUCUGUAUUUCAGGAUGGAAAAACUCUAGAAGAUUCUUCAUUCUUCAGAAGUUCACACUCGGCCUCAAUGAUGUCACAGAGCUUUAUGCCCAGCUUAAUAAAAAAGACGACAAAGUGGGACCGUCUGCAGAGAUGGAGAGGGAUGCAGAGAACGAGCGAGAACAUGAGCUUGAGCGAGCCAGUGAGAUUCCAGACUCAGAACCUUUAAUUCAAGAAGGAAAAGAUCAUGAGAUGGAAUCACAGGAUGAUGAGGAAGAGGAAGAGGAAGAGGUGGUGCUUUCAUCCCAAGAAAAUGUGUUUUUGAGUCCAGAAGAUGAUAUUGUACUUCCUCCAACGCAGACAAUGACAGAAUUACUUCCUGAAUCGCGUGAUGUGCAGCUAGAAGAUCGAGAAUUUGUGGAGGAAGUUGAGAUUGGGAAUGUUGUGGAAAUUGAGGAUGUGGAAAUUGAAGAUGACAGCGUUGAGGAUGAGAUGGUUGUGGAUGAGAAUGUUGAGGAAAUCGAGGAUGAGGAGGUUGUUAAAGCUGAACAUGAAAAUGUUGAAGAGAACCCAGACACCUCACAGUGUCUAGAGCGAAUAACUCGUAGAGCUCACCGCUCAGAGGGAGGAGGCUCUGUCGUGGGAAUUCCGCCUGCCACGGGAGUCACAAAGAAUUUUGGAGCUGGAUUGAACCCCAGAGAGAAAGAUCUUUUGGAUUUUGUGGACGAGAACCGUGAGAAUUUACAGGACUUUUCGGAUGAAGAAAGAGAACCGCUGGGCAGCCAAGAGUUUCCUCGCCUCCAUCCUCCAGCAGAGCUCAGCUCACCAGAGCAGAGGUCACGGCAACAUGAGGCUAGUCUGGCUGAGGGAGAUGUGCCAGAGCUUGAAGAAGAUGAUGACGCCCCAGAAGAACUUAACCAAUCAGAGGAGGAGGAGCUGAUAGACUCUGGGUCAGCCAGUCAGAGCCCUGAACUUCCACAAGAAGAGGAAGAGAACGAUGAUGACGACGCUCUUAGUGCAGAACUGUCCAUCAAAACUCCUGCGUUUGUAAGACAGAAGAGAGAUUUCACAGGUUCUGUUGCGCAGGCUAUGCCAACAGUCUUUAAAGUGAAUGCUGGCUUUUUUCCCUUCACUAAUGACCGAAGCAGACGUGUGUGUGAGGUUUACAAGGCCAAGUCUGUUGUUGAGAUUUGCAGCUCCAGACAGAUGCUGGAUUCCCGUUUCUUUAGAAAACUCUUUCUAUAUCUCUUGCCUUUAUUUAGUGUCAGACUGAAUUUAAAUCCAGAUCUUUUGAUUCCAGAUCCGGCUCAUGUUUCACACCGUUUUCAGUGUGUUGUCACUAUAGAUCGAGAUCCAGAUGUUUGGUCCCUGGGGCCCUCUGGGGCCCCAACCUCCUCCUCCUCUUCUUCUUUACCUCCUCCUGCAAGCAGUGACCCUUCCACAUUCUCCACAGUAUGAGUCAGCAGUGCAGCGGCUCUAGCAACUCCAUCUAUCAUAAGUUGGACCCAGUGGACCCGAAACCAAUUUCAUCAUCACUGCGGGACUGAGUCACACUGCUACUCAGCAAAGAGAGUGAGAGAAGAUCUGCUCGGCCAAAAAUACUUGAAUACUACACACCAGAUGGGAAUAAAGUGAAAACUAAAUAGGAAAACAGAACGAAGGACAAAGAUGUAGAAGGUUCAAGAAAACUCACUUUCUGGUCUGACCUUUUCUGGUCUGGUCUUGUCAGACCUUUGCACACAGGCAAGCCCACUCAUGUUUUCUUCAGAAUAUGCAAUCUAGUUAGUUAGUCAUAUUACCGCAGGCAAUAUUAGCUAAUGCAAUCUAUCAUUUUAAUAUGGUUUUAAUCACGGUUUUUUCUAGGUUUCUGAUGAAUGGACCAUGACAUUUAAAAUCCCAAGUCUCAAAAACCACAAAGACUAGUUAUUUCCAGAGAAGGUGAGGGUUAGAACUAUGUUUCCCUGAGCACAAUGUGAC